rnacentral:rRNA from 1 species
UACGUAGGGUGCGAGCGUUAAUCGGAAUUACUGGGCGUAAAGCGUGCGCAGGCGGUGAUGUAAGACCGAUGUGAAAUCCCCGGGCUUAACCUGGGAACUGCAUUGGUGACUGCAUUGCUGGAGUAUGGCAGAGGGGGGUGGAAUUCCACGUGUAGCAGUGAAAUGCGUAGAGAUGUGGAGGAACACCGAUGGCGAAGGCAGCCCCCUGGGCCAAUACUGACGCUCAUGCACGAAAGCGUGGGGAGCGAAAC